AAGUCGUAACAAGGUUUCCGUAGGUGAACCUGCGGAAGGAUCAUUACCAAAUUUUCCCAUUGCCAUUUGACACCGUGUGUGAACUGGAUCUGUGCUCGCUUUGGCUGCUGGUGACGGCGGCCGAGCGUGUUCAACCCCAUUGUCCAUCUUUUUUUGCAUUCUUUUUAUGUUGAGAGCUUUUCGAGGCUCUUGUUUUGAAUUGGAAAUACAACUUUUAACGGUGGAUCUCUUGGCUCGCGCAUCGAUGAAGAACGCAGCAAACUGCGAUACGUAGUGUGAAUUGCAGAUACAGUGAAUCAUCGAAUCUUUGUACGCAACUGGCGCUCUCGGGUCCCAGUCCUGGGAGCAUGUCUGCUUGAGUAUCAUUUUGCUUUAACUCGGCGUUUUGCCUGCUGUUUUUCGUUUCUUCGGGAAUGGAAGGGAGGGGGCGAUAGACGCUGGAUGUGAACGUUCACGUUUUUCUGUGAUCGUUUGUAAUGCAGGGCGAGGUUGGCACAUGUUUUUGCUGCUUCUGACGCCAAACUGCGAGUGGUGUUCCUCUCUGUCAGUUCUGGAUCAGCGAGUUGGUCAUUGUGUCGAUGGGGCCGAUAUCUGACGAAGCGCAUUUUGUUUUUGGUUUGCGGAUGAAGAAUGAAGAAAAAAACGCAACUGGAUCCAAAUUGUCUCUCUCCCUUAAGAGGGGAAGGGCGAUUUGAGUCGAGGUGGUCUGUUUUUUUCUGAUAUUCAACACCUGUCUGAUCGAAACAUCAAGGCGCUGCAUCAUCCAUGAUCUCAAGUCAGUCAAGACUACCCGCUGAACUUAA
rnacentral:rRNA from 1 species